UACGUAGGGUGCAAGCGUUGUCCGGAAUUAUUGGGCGUAAAGGGCUCGUAGGCGGUCCAUCGCGUCGGGAGUGAAAAGCUGGGGCUUAACCCCAGUCCUGCUUCCGAUACGGGUGGACUAGAGGUAGGUAGGGGAGAUCGGAAUUCCUGGUGUAGCGGUGAAAUGCGCAGAUAUCAGGAGGAACACCGGUGGCGAAGGCAGGUCUCUGGGCCACUACUGACGCUGAGAAGCGAAAGCAUGGGGAGCGAACAGG
rnacentral:rRNA from 1 species